rnacentral:rRNA from 1 species
AGAGUUUGAUCCUGGCUCAGAACGAACGCUGGCGGCAGGCCUAACACAUGCAAGUCGAGCGCCCCGCAAGGGGAGCGGCGGACGGGUGAGUAACGCGUGGGAACGUGCCCCUUUCUACGGAAUAGCCUCGGGAAACUGGGAGUAAUACCGUAUAAGCCCUACGGGGGAAAGAUUUAUCGGGAAGGGAUCGGCCCGCGUUGGAUUAGGUAGUUGGUGGGGUAAUGGCCUACCAAGCCGACGAUCCAUAGCUGGUUUGAGAGGAUGAUCAGCCACACUGGGACUGAGACACGGCCCAGACUCCUACGGGAGGCAGCAGUGGGGAAUCUUAGACAAUGGGCGCAAGCCUGAUCUAGCCAUGCCGCGUGAGCGAUGAAGGCCUUAGGGUUGUAAAGCUCUUUCGUGGGGGAAGAUAAUGACUGUACCCCAAGAAGAAGCCCCGGCUAACUCCGUGCCAGCAGCCGCGGUAAUACGGAGGGGGCUAGCGUUGUUCGGAAUUACUGGGCGUAAAGCGCACGUAGGCGGACUGGAAAGUCAGGGGUGAAAUCCCGGGG